UAGGGAAUCUUCCACAAUGGACGCAAGUCUGAUGGAGCAACGCCGCGUGAGUGAAGAAGGUUUUCGGACCGUAAAGCUCUGUUGUUGGUGAAGAAGGAUAGAGGUAGUAACUGGCCUUUAUUUGACGGUAAUCAACCAGAAAGUCACGGCUAACUACGUGCCAGCAGCCGCGGUAAUACGUAGGUGGCAAGCGUUGUCCGGAUUUAUUGGGCGUAAAGCGAGCGCAGGCGGAAUGAAUAAGUCUGAUGUGA
rnacentral:rRNA from 1 species